CCUAGUAAGUUUGGUGGGAAUUAUGAGUUAGUUUAAGGGUGUGGCAUGUCAUAUACAGAUCUUGCAGUACUGCACUACAGUUACACUGAUUUUUGGGAUACAAUAAGGUACCCUACAGUUAUAGACUCGGCUUUUGAGCCAUACAGUUAUUUGGCACUUUGUGCCCUACAGUUACAGUUUCCUUAACUGACUUAACAGUCCCAUUUAAAUUUAUAGGGGCCA
rnacentral:lncRNA from 1 species